UGACGGCCUGCGUUAUCUCGCGAGACGUUAGAUCCCUCUACGAGGCAGAUCCCGCGAGACUCGAGGAGAACCUUUUAGACUCGCUUCGGAGUGGCCUGCUAGUUGGGUGCUGGACAAUCCUGCUCUUGACAAGUGGUUCAAUUUGGGAGAAGCUGUUUAGAGCUCUUCACCUGGGAGCACAAAAUAGACCAAAUGGCAGGCCUUGGAACUGAAAAUGCAAAUCCUUGGUUUGGAAACAAAGACAUUUCUUGCAACCUGGAACUAUAGGUAGGUAUGUGCAGAGCCGUCCCUAGACAAUUUUCAAGAGUAGGCGAAGAGAAUUUUUGUGCCCCCCCCCCCCAAACCAAUUUCUGCAAUACUUCACCUUGGAGGAGGAGGAGGAGGAGGAGGCGGGUGAGGCCACAGCAGCCUCCUGUACAGCGCGCACGGCGGCACGCAGGCAUGCAGGGCGGGCGCAUGGCGGCACGCAGGCCAGGUGCACGCCAGCAUGGGCCCGCCAUCCAGGCAGCGAGCGCGCUCUCCAGCCACUGCAACCGGCAGAAGGAAGCUUCCUUCCGCCAGUUGAAGCAGGUUGAGAGCGUGCAAGCCGCCCGGAAAGCCCAGGCCGCCCGGAAGGUGGCACCAUCUUGUAGGGGGCACCAUUGAGAUGCUCCCGCAUGCGUCUCAACAUGCGCGCGCACCCAGGAGCACCUCAACAGCGCCCCUGACAAGAUGGCGCCACAGGCAAAUGCCUAGUUGGCCUGGUGGUUGAACCGCCUCUGGGUAUGUGUAAAGAUGGUUUCAUGAAAUCAAUCUAAGCCACCCAGCUGUUGAUCAGUAAAUUUUAUCAGAUUGUCAACAAUGACUACAUCUUGAUCCAUUGAUUUUUCAGAACAGUGUUUAGGAAUUUUAAACCCAAUAUUGGAUGGUAAAACCCUUUGCUCUUCUGUACUGUGACAGGAAUAUACACCCUCGAAUUUGUGAUCUUGUGGUACCCAUUCUAUAAGCUCCAGUUUGAAAAAGAUGAUCUCUUUCUGUACAAUCUUCUGUUUUUCUUUUUUCUUCAGGACCAGUAGAGGCAGGUAUCUGCUGGUUGGGUUUUGGGAGAAAAUAAUUUUCCUCUUGUUUGGCUAGCUACCUAAAUUGUUGUUGCUAUCUCCUUCCAAAUCCAUCUGAAAUGCAAUAAUCAUUCCCCACCAAAAGUUCCUUUAUGUCAGUAUUGUUGUCUGCCAUAUGUAUGCUGGUUUAUUUUGUGAUUUCCGAUGUGCAUCCCAACAAUGUAGUCAACGUGAUGUGCAUGCAAUGGUUGAAGCCAUAAUACUUCUAGCAGGAAAUGCCAUAGCAUCAUGGCUUGCAUCAGCAAUAUAUUGUAAUGUUUCCCUAAAAAAGAUCAGGCAAUGGUAUUUCUAUGGCCUUAGAUGCUAGUUUUCUUAAUAUUCCUUCCUUCCUCCCUCCCUCCCUCCUCCCUCCUCCUCCUCCUCCUCCUCCUCCUCCUCCUUCUUGAUUUCAACUUGAAUUAUUUUGUUGUCUUUAUACUUACACCCAAGGACACCUCCUCAUCACUAUCUUCAAGUGACUGGUAAACCAUAUCAUUCUCAUCCAGGUCCUCCCCUAUUUCUGAAUCAAAAUCAGAUUCAGGGUCCCAAUUAUUUGUCUUUUUGGAUAUUUUGUACCUUACUAUUCAUUUUCCUCAUCCACUGUUUCUCUUUACUGUUUCUUACUCAUAAUAUUGGCUUUAUCCAUUUAUUUCUGCUGACUGAAAGUUCACAUUUGCUUUCUCUCUUUCUGCCAUCAGAUGAAUAUGUACUCUUGUGUAAGAAUCAUCAUAUAAAGAAUUCAUCUCAGGUAUAUUACUAGGUAGAAUCAUGUUUCUUAAAUUGAUUGCACUAAAUAAUUCAUUAGUUGUAACUUGACUGAUUAAUUUGUCUGCUGUUCAGUAAUGCUACUUUGAAAUUAAUGUCUGAGUGUAUAAUAUUUUUUAAUAUCUGCUUGACUGUUGGGCAUACACAUAACAUUAUUCUGAUGCCACCCCAUUAGUAGUAGCUGCACGUAGUGGCACUGGCGCCGGUUGCAAUGACAGUGCUGCUCUCAUCAUUAUUGAUUUUAAAUUAGUCAACAGGCUAUAAAAGCUUUUUUCUUUGUAUUUCUCAGACAUUCUACUACUAUUGUCUUUCAUGGUCUUUUUAUGUGGUGGAGAAGGUAUGCUGAUCUCUAACUGAUUCUCACUUAAUGGUAUAAAUAUUCUCUUUAAAGCAUCCUUUUCUCUCUUUUUUUUCUUCAGAGCCAUAAUGAGCAGCGAGCAUCUGGGUUUACUGCUUUUUAUUCCUUUUCAGACUUAUGAUACACUGAGUAGAGGUAAGUUAUUUCACCUCAGGUUUAACUUCUAACAUGGUUGUUUUCUUUUCCUACCGGGCAGUGCUAUGGCCCCAUCUUUAUUGCCUCAUCAGUACUUUUCCUCUUUUUAUUAUUAACCUCUCUUCUUGCAUAAUAUUAAUGAUUUUACUUCAAAAUAGAGUCUUCUUAAAAGCUCUGGGAUUUAGCAAGCAAGCAAAGAAGAGAAGGGCUGUAGCUGAAGAAGAAUCAUAAACUCCUGCCUAUCCAUCAUGCGGAGAAAAGCCUGUUGGUUUGUGGGUUGCUCCUCCUAACCCAUACAGAUAAUAUGAUUUUAUGUGUCCACAAGCUUUGAUUAUUUUUGUUUAUUUACUUACUAUAUAUACUCAUGUAAAGGUUGAUCUCAUGUAUAAGUCAAGAAUAGGUUUUGGGGGCCAGUAUUACAGAUUUUGGGCCGCAGUGGUGCAGUGGGUAAAAAAGCUGAACUGCAGAACUUGGUGACCAAAAUGUCAGCAGUACGAAUCUACAGGUCGGGGUGAGAUCCCAUUGUUAGCCCUAGCAGUUCUGCUAAACUAGCAAUUUGAAAACAUGCAAAUGUGAGCAGAUCAAUAGGUACCCACUUCGGCGGGAAGGUAACAGCACUCCAUGCAGUCAUGCCAGCCACAUGACCUAGGAGGAGUCUACGGACAAUGCCGGCUCUUUGGGGAGAGAAUUCCAGCACAAUUUUAGCAGGCUAACCAUUUCUGGCUGCAUCACCAUUUUCUCACUAAGCCAUUCAAAAAGACCAGAAGUAGCACUGCAGUGAGAACAUAAAGAGGCUCAGUGCUCCUUUUAGGUUAUCCCAGGAUGAACUAAGAUUUAACCUUUUGCCACCUCACUGAGAGAUGGUUUCUUUUUGGAUAAGAGAUAAGAUAAUGUCUUACAUUAACCCAUGGAUUAGUUGGUCUGGGGUUUUUGAAUUGAAUUUGGGGCUAAAAAUUUUAGACUUACACAUGAGUAUAUACAGCAUUCGUUUCUGCUUUCUAUUUCUAUUCCAUUUCUAUUUCUAUUCCAUUUCUAUUUCUAUUCCAUUUCCACAAAACAAACAAAGAAACAACACAUACCAAAAAAGAGUUCAAAGCAACAUAUCCUGAUUGUAACUACCUUGUCAAUGGCAUUGCUUGUAAAUUCUGUAUCAUUUGCAUUGCAUUGAUAUACAAGUAGGGGGGGGGGGGGGGAAAGAAGCAUAGAAGAGAUUUUGCACUGCAGCUUCCAGAAUCCCACGGCCAGAAUGGCCACUGACUGUGCUGGCAGAGUGGUUCAGGAAGCUGUAACUGAAACAUGCAACUUUCCAAGCUUCAAGAACCCUAUGUUGUCAUAAUAACUACUACUACUAUAGGAUGCUAACGCACUACCCGAUAUCACUGGAAGUUGAAGAUGUCAAUUCUUUCCUUGAAUCUUUAGGUAAUUAAAAGAGGAAUGUAUGCAUAAUUUAACUUGUAAGAAAUAAAAAGAGCUAGUAACUUUU